ACACUCCUGCGGGAGGCAGCAGUGGGGAAUAUUGCACAAUGGGCGCAAGCCUGAUGCAGCCAUGCCGCGUGUAUGAAGAAGGCCUUCGGGUUGUAAAGUACUUUCAGCGGGGAGGAAGGCAAUACGGUUAAUAACCGUGUUGAUUGACGUUACCCGCAGAAGAAGCACCGGCUAACUCCGUGCCAGCAGCCGCGGUAAUACGGAGGGUGCAAGCGUUAAUCGGAAUUACUGGGCGUAAAGCGCACGCAGGCGGUCUGUCAAGUCGGAUGUGAAAUCCCCGGGCUCAACCUGGGAACUGCAUUCGAAACUGGCAGGCUUGAGUCUUGUAGAGUGGGGUAGAAUUCCAGGUGUAGCGGUGAAAUGCGUAGAGAUCUGGAGGAAUACCGGUGGCGAAGGCGGCCCCCUGGACAAAGACUGACGCUCAGGUGCGAAAGCGUGGGGAGCAAACAGGAUUAGAUACCCCAGUAGUCCCAUGAU
rnacentral:rRNA from 1 species